rnacentral:rRNA from 1 species
GACGAACGCUGGCGGCGUGCCUAAUACAUGCAAGUAGAACGCUGAAGGAGGAGCUUGCUUCUCUGGAUGAGUUGCGAACGGGUGAGUAACGCGUAGGUAACCUGCCUGGUAGCGGGGGAUAACUAUUGGAAACGAUAGCUAAUACCGCAUAAUAGUAGAUGUUGCAUGACAUUUGCUUAAAAGGUGCAAUUGCAUCACUACCAGAUGGACCUGCGUUGUAUUAGCUAGUUGGUGAGGUAACGGCUCACCAAGGCAACGAUACAUAGCCGACCUGAGAGGGUGAUCGGCCACACUGGGACUGAGACACGGCCCAGACUCCUACGGGAGGCAGCAGUAGGGAAGCUUCGGCAAUGGACGGAAGUCUGACCGAGCAACGCCGCGUGAGUGAAGAAGGUUUUCGGAUCGUAAAGCUCUGUUGUAAGAGAAGAACGAGUGUGAGAGUGGAAAGUUCACACUGUGACGGUAUCUUACCAGAAAGGGACGGCUAACUACGUG